rnacentral:rRNA from 1 species
CAGUCGCCACGGUAAUACGGAGGGUGCAAGCGUUAAUCGGAAUUACUGGGCGUAAAGCGCACGCAGGCGGUUUGUUAAGUCAGAUGUGAAAUCCCCGAGCCUAACUUGGGAACCGCAUUUGAAACUGGCAAGCUAGAGUCUUGUAGAGGGGGGUAGAAUUCCAGGUGUAGCGGUGAAAUGCGUAGAGAUCUGGAGGAAUACCGGUGGCGAAGGCGGCCCCCUGGACAAAGACUGACGCUCAGGUGCGAAAGCGUGGGAGCAAACAGGAUUAGAUACCCCAGUAGUCCCUGUCUCUUAUACA